rnacentral:tRNA from 2 species
GGCGGGAUGCCCGAGCGGCCAAAGGGAGCGGUCUGUAAAAUCGCCGGCUAAUGCCUUCAGAGGUUCGAAUCCUCUUCCCGCCA